CGGGACACGUGGUAUCCUGUCUGAAUAUGGGGGGACCAUCCUCCAAGGCUAAAUACUCCUGACUGACCGAUAGUGAACCAGUACCGUGAGGGAAAGGCGAAAAGAACCCCGGCGAGGGGAGUGAAAAAGAACCUGAAACCGUGUACGUACAAGCAGUGGGAGCACGCUUAGGCGUGUGACUGCGUACCUUUUGUAUAAUGGGUCAGCGACUUAUAUUCUGUAGCAAGGUUAACCGAAUAGGGGAGCCGAAGGGAAACCGAGUCUUAACUGGGCGUUAAGUUGCAGGGUAUAGACCCGAAACCCGGUGAUCUAGCCAUGGGCAGGUUGAAGGUUGGGUAACACUAACUGGAGGACCGAACCGACUAAUGUUGAAAAAUUAGCGGAUGACUUGUGGCUGGGGGUGAAAGGCCAAUCAAACCGGGAGAUAGCUGGUUCUCCCCGAAAGCUAUUUAGGUAGCGCCUCGUGAAUUCAUCUCCGGGGGUAGAGCACUGUUUCGGCAAGGGGGUCAUCCCGACUUACCAACCCGAUGCAAACUGCGAAUACCGGAGAAUGUUAUCACGGGAGACACACGGCGGGUGCUAACGUCCGUCGUGAAGAGGGAAACAACCCAGACCGCCAGCUAAGGUCCCAAAGUCAUGGUUAAGUGGGAAACGAUGUGGGAAGGCCCAGACAGCCAGGAUGUUGGCUUAGAAGCAGCCAUCAUUUAAAGAAAGCGUAAUAGCUCACUGGUCGAGUCGGCCUGCGCGGAAGAUGUAACGGGGCUAAACCAUGCACCGAAGCUGCGGCAGCGACGCUGAUGCGUUGUUGGGUAGGGGAGCGUUCUGUAAGCCUGUGAAGGUGUGCUGUGAGGCAUGCUGGAGGUAUCAGAAGUGCGAAUGCUGACAUAAGUAACGAUAAAGCGGGUGAAAAGCCCGCUCGCCGGAAGACCAAGGGUUCCUGUCCAACGUUAAUCGGGGCAGGGUGAGUCGACCCCUAAGGCGAGGCCGAAAGGCGUAGUCGAUGGGAAACAGGUUAAUAUUCCUGUACUUGGUGUUACUGCGAAGGGGGGACGGAGAAGGCUAUGUUGGCCGGGCGACGGUUGUCCCGGUUUAAGCGUGUAGGCUGGUUUUCCAGGCAAAUCCGGAAAAUCAAGGCUGAGGCGUGAUGACGAGGCACUACGGUGCUGAAGCAACAAAUGCCCUGCUUCCAGGAAAAGCCUCUAAGCAUCAGGUAACAUCAAAUCGUACCCCAAACCGACACAGGUGGUCAGGUAGAGAAUACCAAGGCGCUUGAGAGAACUCGGGUGAAGGAACUAGGCAAAAUGGUGCCGUAACUUCGGGAGAAGGCACGCUGAUAUGUAGGUGAAGCGACUUGCUCGUGGAGCUGAAAUCAGUCGAAGAUACCAGCUGGCUGCAACUGUUUAUUAAAAACACAGCACUGUGCAAACACGAAAGUGGACGUAUACGGUGUGACGCCUGCCCGGUGCCGGAAGGUUAAUUGAUGGGGUCAGCGCAAGCGAAGCUCUUGAUCGAAGCCCCGGUAAACGGCGGCCGUAACUAUAACGGUCCUAAGGUAGCGAAAUUCCUUGUCGGGUAAGUUCCGACCUGCACGAAUGGCGUAAUGAUGGCCAGGCUGUCUCCACCCGAGACUCAGUGAAAUUGAACUCGCUGUGAAGAUGCAGUGUACCCGCGGCAAGACGGAAAGACCCCGUGAACCUUUACUAUAGCUUGACACUGAACAUUGAGCCUUGAUGUGUAGGAUAGGUGGGAGGCUUUGAAGUGUGGACGCCAGUCUGCAUGGAGCCGGCCUUGAAAUACCACCCUUUAAUGUUUGAUGUUCUAACGUUGACCCGU
rnacentral:rRNA from 2 species